GAUGUACGUGGUUAGAUCUAUC
rnacentral:miRNA from 17 species